UCGUAACAAGGUUUCCGUAGGUGAACCUGCGGAAGGAUCAUUACCGAGUGAGGGCCCUCUGGGUCCAACCUCCCACCCGUGUCUAUCGUACCUUGUUGCUUCGGCGGGCCCGCCGUUUCGACGGCCGCCGGGGAGGCCUUGCGCCCCCGGGCCCGCGCCCGCCGAAGACCCCAACAUGAACGCUGUUCUGAAAGUAUGCAGUCUGAGUUGAUUAUCGUAAUCAGUUAAAACUUUCAACAACGGAUCUCUUGGUUCCGGCAUCGAUGAAGAACGCAGCGAAAUGCGAUAAGUAAUGUGAAUUGCAGAAUUCAGUGAAUCAUCGAGUCUUUGAACGCACAUUGCGCCCCCUGGUAUUCCGGGGGGCAUGCCUGUCCGAGCGUCAUUGCUGCCCUCAAGCACGGCUUGUGUGUUGGGCCCCCGUCCCCCUCUCCCGGGGGACGGGCCCGAAAGGCAGCGGCGGCACCGCGUCCGGUCCUCGAGCGUAUGGGGCUUUGUCACCUGCUCUGUAGGCCCGGCCGGCGCCAGCCGACACCCAACUUUAUUUUUCUAAGGUUGACCUCGGAUCAGGUAGGGAUACCCGCUGAACUUAAGCAUAUCAA
rnacentral:misc_RNA from 1 species